UCAAGAGCGAUAAAUCUCAAACCAUUGUGGUUCCUAAAGGACAUGUCUUUGUUCAAGGUGACUAUACUCAUAACUCAAGAGACUCAAGAACCUUUGGUCCUGUACCAUACGGUCUUAUUCAAGGCAGAGUGCUUUGGAGGGUUUGGCCAUUUCAGGAUUUUGGACCGCUUGGACCAACCCCUUCUUAGCUCCAUG